AUUAUCAAGUAGGAGGUGCACUACUUCUGCACUGUGUUCAACCAUUCAGUCAAUAAUAAGUGCUGCUGUGAAGAGAACAAUUCUCAGACUGAAUGUUGAACAUCAGCUAGUUUCUCCUGUUGAUUUAAACCUUGUUGUAGAGAUGAAACACUGGCUGUGGAUUAUUCUUGCUGCUCUUUUCUUUGGAAUAAUAGCUGGAGACAAAAUCUCUCCUGUAAAACCGCAUGAAGUCAGUAAAAGAGAAGGAGAAUCUGUUAAACUCAAAUGUGUAUAUGAGACAACAUAUAGCACUCCUGCACUUUACUGGUACAGACAUCAUUCUGACCUUCAGGCACCUCAGUUUAUACUCUGGAAAGGAGCAAAAGGGAACACAUUCAAUUAUAUCCCAGAUAACCGAUAUGAAUCCAAAACAACAGAGAAAACAACUGAACUGACCAUAAAGACACUAACCCUGGCAGACACAGGUCUCUACUACUGUGCUCUAGAAACACAGUGAUACAAAGUGUAGAAGAGGCUGUACAAAAACCUGAACACAGAUAUCUGACUACUCUUCAAAGAGGAGGGAAGUGGUAUUCAAACCACAGCUUCCUAUCAGAUGGAUUCUGAUUAUUCCAGUUUUAUCAGAGUCCCUGUGGUUACAGCUGCUAAUGUAACACUGUGGGAGGAUUCACAUGAGCAGCAAAUCCACAUCAAUGACAAACCAACUGUAUGAUGGUUCAAACACAAGACACCAUGAC